UACGAAGGGGGCUAGCGUUGCUCGGAAUGACUGGGCGUAAAGGGCGCGUAGGCGGAUGGUACAGUCAGAUGUGAAAUUCCCGGGCUCAACCUGGGGGCUGCAUUUGAUACGUGCUGUCUUGAGUUCGGAAGAGGGUCGUGGAAUUCCCAGUGUAGAGGUGAAAUUCGUAGAUAUUGGGAAGAACACCGGUGGCGAAGGCGGCGACCUGGUCCGAGACUGACGCUCAUGCACGAAAGCGUGGGGAGCAAACAGG
rnacentral:rRNA from 1 species